AGUCUUGUCGUCAUUUCAUAGAACCUGACUUCUUGGUUGAGAAACAUUUCACCAAACUGAGCCCUGGUUCCUGAUUUCUGUGGCCCUACUAAUUUAAAACUGUUUUACUUGGCAGGUAGAAGCCACAGCUUGUCUGAGACGGUUGGGUAACUUAUCUACAGCCAUUAAAGACAGAGGACUACAGAGCUAAUGAGACCUAAUAUUUCACACCCAUGGAUCCAAAGAGCUGUGGACACAACGGGCACCCUCAAACCGCUAUCUGGAUGCAUCUGCCACACUGUGACACCACCCAGGUGCUCUUGCCAAAACGGGCACUUUGUGGCUUAGACUUUCUAGCUACCCACCAACUUCACCACCCAGACAGAUUGGCCUUCAGCUUUCCUACCUCACCCUCCGGAAUGCUGGGAUUAUGACUAUGCACCAUUUUUGCCGCAGCCAGAUCAUUGAAUUUUUUCAGAAAACCAAUUGACUAGCCGGGUGUGGUGGUGGCGCACGCCUUUAGUCCCAGCACCCAGGAACCCUGUUUCAAAAUAAAA